AUGUCUGGCCGUCAGUAUACCUGGGCCAAUAACCGACCAGUUCCAACUUUCGAAAAACUUGACCGGGUGCUGGUUACCACCGACUGGGAAUAUAAAUAUCCCCUAGCCUCGGUACGGGCACUAGAAAGUAUUGAGGCCUUAUCGGAUCACGCUCCAUUGCUAACCGAUUUUGGAGAAACACCUCCAAGUUCUAACCGUUAUCAGUUUAAAUUUGAAUUGGGAUGGCUCACUAGAGAGGGAUUCCUGGACAUGGUCAAGAAAGUGUGGGCGCGUCAACCUCACGGCAACACGCCCGUUCAACGAUGGAACAAUCCAUUCCGCGCCUUGAACCGAUUCCUUCGUGGAUGGGCUAAACACACUACUGGCAUUUACAAAAAAGAAAAGUUGCGGAUUUCUAGUUUAAUCGAUACCCUUGAUAAAAUUGUGGAGGUGAGGCCUCUUUUUGCUGAUGAGAUUGAGCAAAAAAGCUAUCUUAAUGAGCAGAUUGCACGCUUUCUUCAUGAGGAAGAGAUUAAAUGGUACCAACGUUGCAAGGCUGAUUCGCUCGUUCAAGGUGAUGAUAAUACAAAAAAAUUUCAAAUGCUAGCCAAUGGCAGACAUAGAAAGAAACGUAUCUUUGCUCUUGACUAG
rnacentral:rRNA from 1 species